AAGCUUUUGUUCUUCAAAGCUAGAAAUAGACAGGGGGACCGGUUUGAAGACAUUUUCUUCAGACUUCAUUGAGAAAUUCCAAGUUGAGAGAAGCAGGGAUGUGAAUAGAGUCCAUGGUUAUGGAGGAUGGACUGAAUGGAAACACAACUGGGAACAUAUAUUUGUAGUCUAACAGCAGCUGUGGUGGGUCAUUUCGCUCUUGCAAAUUUGCCUAUGAGGUUUGUGUGGAAAAAAUAAAAGUGAUCUUGCUUCAAGCAGUGAAUAGACCUUGCCCCCGGAGAUGCAUCCAUGAUGCUGUAUAAGUAGCCAGGAAUUUUGCAGCAGAGCAACACAAGUUGUAAAUUCCCACAAAGUGAUGGAAAGUGCUGCCCAAUCAACUCCAGGAGUGAGAGUGUGGACCUGGACACUGAAUAUGACUCUUGAGUAGCAGCACAGACUACCAGCAACAUGUUUGUCCUUUUAUCUAGUACACCAUCAGGACUGAGAAGAAUGUUAAACAUUAGCUACUAUUUUCCUGCUUUCUCUUUUUGACAUUCAAGAUACCAUAGCACUCUUCACAAGAGCAGGGAAUUUUCCCUAUUCACCAGGUAAAAAUUUCCCUGCUCUCCACUAACGUGCUGUAUGCUGGGUGGCAGUCUUCCAUCUCAGAAGUGGUUGCAUUUCAGUGAUGUCCUACAUUCCUGUAUCCUACUAGCCUUACUUGCAGGACUAGUCCCAUUGAGAAAAUGAGCACUUGAGCGCUCAGAUACUAUAUUGAUAACUAGAACUGAGCAAUUUUUUUUUUUUGGUGAACAGUAAACCAAAAUAUUGCAAAUUUGACAUGAAAUUACUGAAUAGUUUCAGCCAAAAUCUUUGUUUUCAGGACUGAGAUGCCAUUCACAAAAUGGCUGGAGGCUAAGACAAUGGUAGUGCCUGCCUUGUACAUUUUAGCCCAGUGCACUCACUUAAGAUAUGGAAUAGGAGCCAGGUUCAAUUGCCCCCCUCUAUCUGAUCUGAAGAAGGGAUUUAAACUUUGAUCUCACAGCAGAAAAGUUCCCUUACCUCUGGGGCUAUUGGGUAGUCUGGAGUGGGUCUUUCUCAGUCUCUCCCAUUGAAGUGGUUCCACUUUGUAUAAAUAAUUCAUUAGUCAUUGGAGGUUGGGACAAAGAGAGUGAGAAUGACAAUGCAGCCAAGUGGUUAGGGCACUCUUCUGCCAUGUGGGGCACCCAAGUUAAAAUCACUUCUCCAUAUCAGGAUUAGGAGGGAACUGAAUGUCUCUCUCCCACAUCCCAGGACAGAGCCCUAACCACUAGGUUAAUGCUUCUAAGGGAGAUGGCACCAUUACCCCAACUUUCCUCCUUUUAAGUAUAUCUGGAAACAAAAUGUUUCCUUCAACCUAAAGCAAACUUUUUCAAUUCACCAAAGUUUUUCGGAGUUUCCAAAUUGGAGCAGACCCACAUUUAUUUUGUUGUUUUUUUGGAACUGCCAGUGACCUGAUAAAUAAUUAUUUGCCCAACUCUACUGAUAAGAGCCACAAAUACCUACAUAGAAGUGAACAGAGCUCAGGUUAUAAUUUAUUAAAUGAAUUGGAAUCCUUUAUAAUGAAGGGUUCUACGGGCAUGUAAAGAAUUAUUACUCAUUUUUAUCAUUACUGUAUAUUAAAGCAGAAUAAAAAUGCUUUCUGGCUUUGGAGGUUCCUCGUAUCUUUUCAAGUUCAUAAAAUAUGUAAAUUCAAAGAAAACACAGUUGAGUGCAUCUUGUAUCACACGCUGAUUUAAGCGUCAUUUUCUUCUGUUCUUUUGCUAUUGUACACUGUGGAACAUUUGAUUUAUCAGAAAUGAAUUGUGAGAAACUGAACUCAAAAUUGGAUAAUACAAUUUUUAUAGCAUAUCUGACUAGAAAGUGGAAAUCUUAUCAGAGAAAGCAGCAUGAUGGGGCAAGAGCAGCUAUUUUGCGUAAAUGUGUUUUUACCCAGAACAU